rnacentral:rRNA from 1 species
AAAAAAGGUAAGCUACUAAGAGCGAAUGGUGGAUGCCUUGACUGGUAAAGGCGAUGAAGGACGUACUAGACUGCGAUAAGCUACGGGGAGCUGUCAAGAAGCUUUGAUCCGUAGAUUUCCGAAUGGGGCAACCCAAUGUAUAGAGAUAUACAUUACCUAUAUAGGAGCGAACGAGGGGAAUUGAAACAUCUUAGUACCCUCAGGAAAAGAAAUCAAUAGAGAUUGCGUCAGUAGCGGCGAGCGAAAGCGCAAGAGGGCAAACCCAGUGCUUGCACUGGGGGUUGUAGGACUGUAAUGUGCAAGAGGUAAGUUUAGCAGAACAUUCUGGAAAGUAUAACCAUAGAGGGUGAUAGUCCCGUAUGCGAAAAACAAACCUUAGCUAGCAGUAUCCUGAGUAGGGCGGGACACGAGAAAUCCUGUCUGAAGCUGGGUCGACCACGAUCCAACCCUAAAUACUAAUACCAGAUCGAUAGUGCACAAGUACCGUGAGGGAAAGGUGAAAAGAACUGAGGUGAUCAGAGUGAAAUAGAACCUGAAACCAUUUGCUUACAAUCAUUCAGAGCCCUAUGUAGCAAUACAGGGUGAUGGACUGCCUUUUGCAUAAUGAGCCUGCGAGUUGUGGUGUCUGGCAAGGUUAAGCAAACGCGAAGCCGUAGCGAAAGCGAGUCUGAAUAGGGCGCUUAGUCAGAUGCUGCAGACCCGAAACGAAGUGAUCUAUCCAUGAGCAAGUUGAAGCUAGUGUAAGAACUAGUGGAGGACUGAACCCAUAGGCGUUGAAAAGCCCCGGGAUGACUUGUGGAUAGGGGUGAAAGGCCAAUCAAACUUCGUGAUAGCUGGUUCUCUCCGAAAUAUAUUUAGGUAUAGCGUUGUGUCGUAAUAUAAGGGGGUAGAGCACUGAAUGGGCUAGGGCAUACACCAAUGUACCAAACCCUAUCAAACUCCGAAUACCUUAUAUGUAAUCACAGCAGUCAGGCGGCGAGUGAUAAAAUCCGUCGUCAAGAGGGAAACAACCCAGACUACCAGCUAAGGUCCCUAAAUCUUACUUAAGUGGAAAACGAUGUGAAGUUACUUAAACAACCAGGAGGUUGGCUUAGAAGCAGCCAUCCUUUAAAGAAAGCGUAAUAGCUCACUGGUCUAGUGAUUUUGCGCGGAAAAUAUAACGGGGCUAAAGU